rnacentral:rRNA from 1 species
CCUACGGGUGGCUGCAGUGGGGAAUAUUGCACAAUGGGGGGAACCCUGAUGCAGCAAUGCCGCGUGGGUGAAGAAGCAUUCCGGUGCGGAAAGCCCUUUCUGCAGGGAAGAAAAUGACAGUACCUGGACAAGAAGCACCGGCUAACUACGUGCCAGCAGCCGUGGUCACACGUAGGGGGCAAGCGUUAUCCGGAUUUACGGGGUGUAAUGGGAGCGUAGGCGGCGUGGCAAGUCAGAUGUGAAAACCCGGGGCCCAACCCCGGGAGUGCAUUUGAAACUGCGAUGCUGGAGUGCCGGAGAGGUAAGCGGAAUGCCUAGUGUAGCGGUGAAAUGCUUAGAUAUUAGGAAGAACACCAGUGGCGGAGGCGGCUUACUGGACGGUAACUGACGCUGAGGCACGAAAGCGUGGGGAGCAAACAGGAUUAGAUACCCCGGUAGUC